GCAUGGACGAUGCUUCACUGUUUAGUUUUUUGUUUUUUCCUUUGAAAUUGUGAGGAAAUGCCGAUCAGCUGUGAUUGUAGAAGUGUUGUUUAUGUAACAUUAGUCUGGUGGAGUGCUGAGACGCUGUGUGUGCGUGUGUGUGUGAACUCUGUGGGAAGUUGCACUGUCUGCAGCACUUAAGUGAGGAGAACGAGACUGAUCCGUCACUGUUUACUAAAGUUGUUGAAGCAUUUAGCCGUGUUUCCUGGUCAUACAUGUGAACUCUGCUCCAGGAAUGUGCAUAUUAACCAAUCCGAGGAGGAUCCCCCGUAUUAAAUUUAUAUAAUGCAAUAGUAUUAAGUUUAUUUCUCCACAAAAGCACUUCCUUUUUCUUCUGGGUUAUCCUACCUGCAGCUGUUCCACGGGACACUACCGGAUUCUGAUCCAUCUGAGCAGCACAAGAUAAUUAGGAGCACCGAGGGAAGCUGCACAGAGAAAAGCACUGUCGACGCUGUCAGGGCUAGGGCAACACUUCCAGGGCGAGAUCCGAUGUGGUUUUGUGGAAGGGUUCGUUUACUGGGUCGUUUCUGAUUAGAAUGAUCCUACCAAAUAAAACUCUCGAAUGUUUUGAGGUUCAUAUAUAGAGUUGUAGCAUGUAGUUGUACAUGUGAACAUCUGAUAUAUGCAGAGUAGAGGAGAAGUGUUUCAAUUUGCAUUCGUAGUAGCUGGUUAUGGAUCUACAGUCGGUGUGUCCACAUUUAUCCAUGUGUGAAAGGAGGCUGCAGCCUGCGCUUGCAGAUGCAUUGGAGUGGAGAAUCGACUCUUUGAGGCGCAGCUUUAAGAGAGAGAGAGAGAAAGGGAGGCUGGUGGUACCAGGCUCUCGCACCCCAGAGACGGAUGGAGAUAAACGGAGGCUGUAAAGACGGGGGAGGAGGGAAGAGGAGAAAUGCUCCACUGUAAAGCUACACCUAUGUUCAAUUAAAGCCAUAAAACACAAUACUGACUUCUCAGCCCGUCUCUAAUGAGGUUUCAGCUCUGCUGGGGUUGUGGGAAAGUUGUCCACACAGAACCUGGACUGUUACAACCCAGGAAGAUGUUAUAGAGCAUUGUAGCAUAUCUGAUGACAUGGUUUUCACAAGUCGGUAUAUAAUGAUAUGAAUACUGUACGUGUACUUUGUGCAAGGCUUUAAAUGACCUGGUACAAGUAAUGUUGGGGGAAAAAAUAUCACCUGCAAAAUUUGGAAAUAUUCUGGGUGAAAAGUUGGUAAUUUCUUAUAUUAAUUUGUGUAAUAACACAGGAAAUGCAUUACUUUAUAGUU